ACAUGCGGCCACAGACUAAGGAGAAUUGGGCAUCCCGUCCGCUCUGCCAUACACAAGCCUUAGAUCGGCAGAUUAGUAGUUGGGUGGGUGACCACCAGCGAAUACCUGCUGUUGUAUUGU
rfam:Glarea lozoyensis 74030 unplaced genomic scaffold M7I_scaffold1, whole genome shotgun sequence.